UUAGAUACUUAACUAUAUUAAAUGUUGUUUAAAUAUGACAAGAAGCUGGAACAACAACCAACCAUUCCAGAAAGUCCCCAUAUGUAAUUUUGAAUUUGCUACACAUGUGCCUAAACACAAUUUUAGAGUUGGUAAACAAGAAAAUAAAUGCUACCAUGCUAUUCUACACGUUUUUCUAACCAAGUUACAUAUGUGAAACAUUUUAAUUGAAGCUACAGUUAAUUAGUUAUGGUGAAAACCAUUUUAGCAUGGCAUCAAUGCGAAUUAAAUUAAAACAAUAAGUUAAACAUUUUAAACACAUGUGAAAGUUGGAUAUUAUGAAAUUACACAGAAUUAUAAGCAUGUUACAUAUCUAAAGUUUUUACAUGCGGCGCUCGAUUUAUUAAUUAUGAGCAACGAAAAAUGUAUGUUUUUUCUGUAAUUAAAAAAUUCUUUGCAUAAUUAAAAAAUCACAGAACGUGAAAAGAAAAAUGAUUAUGGGCCAAAUCUGCUAGAGCUAGGCUGAAAGUGUGUGUGUACAAAAGGAAAAAAAUAUGGCAAUCUUGGGGGGGGNGGGGGGGGGGGGGGGGGGGGGCUUGGAUUGGCUAGUACUCUGUUCUGAUAUUGCACAGGAAUUUCUGCAAAUGAAGCAGCAGUUCACCAAUGUGCAGAUCAACAAAACAGGGCAAAAAAUUAUUGCAACACCUCAGAUUGGAACCCCAGAUCUCUUAGUUGAACAACGACCGAGCAAACAAACUCGGCUACACAAUAUUAAUGAUAAAAAUCGAACAUGCUACACAACUAGAACGAGGGCUAAAACGUCAAGCUUAGCGAAGGACNN
rnacentral:lncRNA from 1 species